GCAAAUAAAACAUCUGACUGACACUAGAGGUCAACGAACGUUGCGUAGAUAGGUGCCGCGGGCUCAAUGCCGCGUAGUAGGCGGAGCAUUGACCCUGAGUUUUGCACGCUGUACAU